AGAGGUUAAGUGUUUGGCUGCUAACCAAAAGGUUGGUGGUUCAAAACCACUAGCUUCUC
rnacentral:tRNA from 1 species